CCUUCCGGCGGAAGCGCGGACCCGCGACGCGCGGGGCAGAGCGGCCCCUAUUGUUGCUGUGUCAUUGGGGAGCAGCGACGGCCCCUGGCGGCGGCGGCGGGGCGGCGGGGCACGAGCCCCCCGCGCCGGCCACCCUGGCCCUCUGGCCGAGAAGACCGCACGGAGCCGUACCAGGAGGCAGGCGCAGGCCGAGGCGGGGACUGGCGGUGGGCGCCGAGCGACGCACAGGCGUGUCCAGGGGCUUCGGCCGGGACGGACCCCGGGGCCGGUGUCCGCCCGAUCACCCGCUAGAGUCCCUGGAGCCGAGCUCCAGGCCCGCAGGAAGCCAGCCCUUGUCACAUUCGUUAUUCCUGAGCACGAUUCCGGGGCUUAGAGACGAGGCCAGAAAGGUAGGAGUCCUGGGGCCCUGGACCUAGAAGACGUCAGCUUCACGUCACCUUGGGAGCUCCACACUGUUGCAAUGGGCAAGUUCAUGAAGCUAGGGCAAGUGGUGCUGGUCCUUGCCAGAUGCCAAGUGGUCAUCAUGAAGAACUCCAAGGGCCCCUGCAGCCCUGCCACGGUGGCCUGGACUGACUGCUUCCCCACCAAGUGACAGCUGCCAAGAGGUCCAAGAUCAAGCCCUUUGAGGGUUUACAACCGCCUCAGGCCCACAAGGUACUCUGUGGACAUCCCCUGCGUAAGGCGUGGUCAACAAGGACGUGUGUGCAGAGACCCAGCCUCGAGCGCAAGGCCCGGUGGGAGGCGAAGGCCAAGCUCGAGGAGAGAUUCGAGACAGCAAGAACAAGUGGUUCUUCCAGAAGCUCCAGUUUAGGUGGCUCUGAAACCUGGACGCAGCGACGGUGCUCACGUGGCAGCCGCACUCCCUCCUGCGCCGGCUGCAGGCCG